GGUGAAUAUUAAGACCACUAGACAUGACUUCAUUUUCUGGAUAAGUGCUCUGAAAUUGAUCUUGUGUGCCAACUGAAGAUUUAUUCAAACUAGAAGGAACAUCUUCUACAGAAUCUUCUGCAGAUAAUUUGAUCUUUCCAUCAGUAUUCUUGGCUUCAACUUCUGAUCCAGUGUUUAAGAGAUCGUAGAAACUGCCAUUACGAAUAUUGCCUUCAGCUUUCUGCACUUCUUCUACCGUAGGGAAACCAAAGUCCUCUUGGGAAACAUGCAUAACACUAACAUCUUUUAGGUUUGAUCCUUGAAGGCUAUUGUGGUCACCUUGUUCUACAACUUCCUCUUCUUCCACCAUAGGGUAACCAGAUUCCUCCAGAAAAACAUGUAAAACAUUCACUUCUUUCAUGUUUGGCCCUUGAGAGAUAUUUUGGUCACCUUGUUCUACAGCUAAAUCUUCUUCCACUGCUGGGUAAACAGAUUCUUCCUGAUAAACAUGUAAAAUAUUCACAUCUUUGAUGUUUGGUCCCUUAGGGCUAUUGUGGUCACCUUGUUCUACAGCUACAUCUUCUUCCACUACAGGGUAAAGAGAUUCUUCUUGAUAAACACGUAAAAUAUUCACAUCUUUGAUGUUUGGUCCUUGAGGGCUAUUGUUGUCACCUUGCUCUACAGCUACAUCUUCCGCAAUAGGAUAGUCAGAUACCUUCUGAGAAAGAAGUAAAAUAUUCACAUCUUUCAUGCUAGGUCCUUGAGAGCUAUUGAGGUCACCUUGUUUUAAAGCAUUAUCUUCUUCCACCAUAGGGAAACCACAUUCCUCUUCAGAAGCAUGUAAAACAGUUACAUCUUUCAUGCUUGAUCCUUGACAGCUAAUGCAGUUGCCUUGAUCUAUAGCUUCAUCUUCUUCCAUCAUAGGAGAGCCAGAUUCUUCUACAGAAGCAUGUAAAGCAUUCACAUCUUUCAUGUUUGAUCCUGGUGAGCUACUCUGGUCGCCUUGUUCUACUUCGUCAUCUUUUUCCACCACAGGGUAACCAGAUUUCUCUUGAGAAACAUGUAAAACCUUCACAUCUUUCAUUCUUGAUCCUUGAGGGCUAAUGCAGUCGCCUUGUUCUGUAGCUUCAUCUUCUACCAUCAUAGAAGAGACAGAUUCCUCUUUAGAAGAAUGUAAAGCAUUCACAUCUUUCAUGUUUGAUCCUCGAAGGCUAUUAUGAACGCCUUGUUCUGCAGCUCCGGCUUUUCCCUUUUCAUAUUCACAAAUAUCUCCAAUAAGAUUAUUGUUGUCGCCCAACUUCUCAUCUUCACCCUCCGACAAUUGGUUGUUGAAUUCCACUAAAGCAACUGCUACAGGUGCUAAAUGUAAACCUCCCUGACUGUUAUCAUGCUCGUUCUUGAGUCUGUUUUGCAUGUCUUCCCCAACCCCACAAAUUCCAAAGUCUUCCCUUGUUAUUUCCGGGGACAAAUUUGUUUCAAAUUCCAACCUUUCAAUCUCUGAACCUUUCAAAUUCUUGGCAGAAAAAACACUCCUUUCCUUUGAACCCGGGCUAGGAGUCACCAAAUCAAUCACUUCCCCAUUUUUGCCACCAACACAAUAAAGGGUGGUGUCUUUCUCAGUUCUAGCAUUACCAGAACCUACAGGAUUUU
rnacentral:sRNA from 1 species